GUCAGUAACUCAACCCUAAAGGGAUUGAGCUUGUAAGAGAAAUCAAACAAGCUGUACUGACCAGACCACCCUGAGCGUAGUCGAAGGGUAGCCGUUAUUUGAGUCACGACACCUCGGAAUGCGUUCGCGCCAGCGUGCCGUCAGGCAUAGCUAGUUCCCCGCUCUGUCGCUGUAAGUUAAACAGUUCUAAAGUCACUGGAACAGUGCUUUCAGCCUAACAAGCUCUUAUAACAGGUCGAAGCUAACAUCAC
rfam:Anabaena sp. 90 chromosome chANA01, complete sequence.